rnacentral:rRNA from 1 species
AGGACGAACGCUGGCGGCGUGCUUAACACAUGCAAGUCGAGCGGAAAGGCCCUUCGGGGUACUCGAGCGGCGAACGGGUGAGUAACACGUGAGUAAUCUGCCUUCAGCUCUGGGAUAGCUCCGGGAAACCGGGAUUAAUACCGGAUAUGACCACUUCGGACAUCUGUUGUGGUGGAAAGUUUUUCGGCUGGAGAUGAGCUCGCGGCCUAUCAGCUUGUUGGUGGGGUAAAGGCCUACCAAGGCGACGACGGGUAGCCGGCCUGAGAGGGCGACCGGCCAACGACUGGGACUGAGACACGGCCCAGACUCCUACGGGAGGCAGCAGUGGGGAAUAUUGCGCAAUGGGCGGAAGCCUGACGCAGCGACGCCGCGUGGGGGAUGAAGGCCUUCGGGUUGUAAACCCUUUCAGCAGGGACGAAGCGCAAGUGACGGUACCUGCAGAAGAAGCGCCGGCUAACUACGUGCCAGCACGCCGC